rnacentral:lncRNA from 1 species
GCUUAUGUAAGCAAUGAGGUGGCAUGCAAAUCCAAAUAAGCAAAUGGGGCCCACUCUAAAUAAAGUGGGGGUGCUGUCUACCCCCAAAACACUAGUAAUUGUUGGGCCGUGUGGAAUUGGCAAGAGUUGCUUGCUCAGGGCUUUGGCUUGCGGCUGGAUUCGAGGAUUGUUUGCAUCUGGGACCUCACUAAGCAGGACUUGGCCAGGUGAGCCGCUCGGCCUGCUUGCAAAACGUGAGGAUGAGAUACAGAGUUUGGAUUCUUUGCAAGACAUCCAGUACGUGCUGGCGAUGCAAAAGCCCAACAGGCAUGCCAGAUGAUAAAGGACGUUUCCAAGAUUGAUUCGCAUUUCAUUGUUGGUGAAGGAGGAGGGGUUUGAAUUCAUGACUCAUCACAUUGCCCCCUAGUGUAUGGGGAAGUCCACGCAGCAGAGAAGGCCAUGGUUCUUUCAGCAUGCCACAGCGCAGCAUUGUCUGUGCGCUGGAUUAUUUGCAGGACGAAGGAGUCGUGCGUUCGAAUCCGUGCCCCAACAUGCUUGGGAAAAUAAAAGGAGUGAUCAGUUUGUUUUAUUUGAGGGUCCCUCUUCUUCGGAUGGGUUCGAACCCGGGAUCGGCUCUACAAGACUAUCCCUCAGGUCCCUGGGCUGGCCAGUCUUCCCAGGGUUGAUCACUUGAAAAAUAUUGCGUCUCUGUUCUACAUAACGAGUUUAGUUAAGCCUUAACCCUGAUACAAGCCAACGGCUUAGAUCGAGAUUCGGAGGAAUCGUGCUUCGUCCCAUCUCACCGGAGGAAAGCAUUGCUUGCGAGAAACGGAGCCUCUGCAAGAAUAGUGAAUCACACCUCCAUAAAUCCCACACUUACCGGUGGACACCAAAGUUCUGAUUUUUACUUCCGAUCGUUGCGUAGUCGGAUUUGUUGCUUGACGAGCUCCUCUUCUUUAUCGACAAACACAUAGACGGCUCCAUAGACUCUGCGGAAGGAGCAUGUAACCAGUGCCGAUUCCUGCCGCAGAGACGAGAUAUCUGAAAACACAAUCGAUAGGCGAACGAUGAGACAAACGUGAAGACUAAUAAGGAAAGAGCUCCAGGAGAAAACCAUGAGAAACUUAACACAAAUGCCUUCGCCAAGACGAAGUUGACCGUCUUGGUGAUCGUCAAGUUGUUGAAGCCCGGGACCUGAAUGGCAUGAGUCUGCUUAUCCGUAGUGUGUGAGAAGCGCGAAAGUCAGUUCUUCCCUCAAGCACACAACACAUCAUUCUCAGAGAUAAAUGGACAAAUUAAGAAAGAAAACUUACAUUGAUCUUCGACCAUGACGAAGGUUUCGCAGUUCUUCUCUUGUCUCUAGUUGGCCCAUAACCUUCCAUAGCAGUCUAUGGACCAGCCCCUGGCGAGAUGUUUUCGAUCCAGAUUCGCUGGGAUACCAUGGAAAAUAGUUUCUUGCUGGCUUCCUUUCACUGAAGCCUUGCUCUUGCUGGAGAGUGGUGUUGCCUGUGUGUGAGCAAAGAUUCGAUUCUUCUCAAAAACACGCCUUAUUGAUUCGUUGUUUUCCUCAUUGUACGCCUUGAUCUUGGCCUCUGUCUCAACAACAUUGGCAUUGACAUUGUUGAAUCCCACCGGCUCUGGCCCCAAAGCUUUGUCACGCUAGAUUGGCUCAUAAAUCCAGACAAAUUACCAAUCCCAGCAAUCUCAGCGCGUUGCAAACUACAUGUAACUUUUCCUCCGCUUUCAUGUUGAUCUCUCGGCUUAUUUUUUCUUCAUGGAAACGACGCCAAGAUCAUCGCGAGCUGGCAGAUGAGGUUUGAUCUUCCGGACAAGAGUUUCACGCCACGUGGCUCUAGCUUGUGUCGAUUUUCACUGCUAGGGCAUUCCACCCUGCCGUGGUUCAGAAUUCCGCCAUGUAUAUAAAGGGGUCGAGUAGAGAUGAAUUUCCCAGGGGAGAGCUUGAAACAUUAGCGUUUGAAUCCCCCGGGAAUGGGGCCGCUGGCCCUCGACCGCUUUGGUGGACUGUGAGGCUCUUCAGGCUAAAUCUCCAUAGCCAACUUGAUCGUGGUCUAGAGGAUAGCAUCAGGUACACAACCCCCAGCAGUGGCCCGUAAAUUUUAACACCAAGAAGCAUAGCAUUUUUUGUCUUCCUCUCGGGCAAUUGAGGAGCCCAAAUUGUUAGAGAUAUGCCGAGCGUCAAGUUCGUCCCGUUGUACCCAGCCAGCUUUAAGCCCUACUGCAACCCGAACAGGCCCAUCUCUGUCGUGUCCAGUCCACAGAAGUGGGAACAAACGGCAGGCUCGCAAUCACAGGCUUGAUCCAAGCACCCAGCUUUGCCGAGAGCAUCCACCAUGCAGCUGUAGUGUUCGUUUCCAGCUUCCAGCUCGUAAUCCAUCACCAUCAAAAGGAAGCACGACCUCGAGCACAAGCCAUGAGAAGCAGCAAAUGGCUUGUUUCGUCGGGGCACACAGCUGCGAUCUUCAUUCUUCCCAGCAAUUCCAAAAUUUUGGAGCAUGGACCCAUAGCCAGUGAGGAGAGCAUUCCACGAGAUUAAAAUUGGACUAGGCAUCGAAUCAAACUUCCAGGUUCCCAUUCUGGGCAUAUGCCGAGAGAAGUGACGUCCACGAGACGAGAUCUCGGAGGAAAGAGCUCAUCCGUCUUGGAAAGAUCCAGUAUGCUGUUAGCAUUGCGUUCCAAGAAGAAAUGUCAUGGCAAGGCAUUAGUGCAACUGCUUCUUCAAGAUGCCUGUAUGCCGAGAGAAUGAUCGUGAAUGAGACCCUACUCUCAAACGCACACCUUGCUUCUUCCAGAUUCCCACUCUGCGAUUCCACUGAGGCAUCUCGCUGCUCCAUUUCCUGGAACUCGUUUGGCCUGGAUGAGAUCGCCGUGCUGGACGGAAUGCCAUGCUGGCAGCAUAUUCCACCUGGAAGAUGCUCGUAGAAUAUUCAAUGGUCUCGCAGCGGCAGCGGUGCGGCUUCUCCCUUAUAUGCGACGAAGACUGCAAGUGGAGGCAAAUAAGUCUUCGAAGCGAUGCCGAUGCUGGAUUUGGAUCGAUUGAGCC